UCAAAAACAUGUCUUUUUGAAAUUAAUUUAAAGUCUAGUCUGCCCACUGAUAUAAUUAUUAAAGGGCUGCAGUAUAUUGACUGUACAAAGGUAGCAUAAUCAUUAGUCUUUUAAUUGAAGACUUGUAUGAAAGAUUUGAUGAAAUAUAUACUGUCUCUAGUUUAUUAAUAAAAAUUAAUUUUUUAGUUAAAAAGCUAAAAUAUUAUUAAAAGACGAGAAGACCCUAUAAAGUUUUAUAAUUUAUUUAUUUAAUAUUAAAUAUAUAAUUAAAAUAUAAUAAUUAAUAUAAAUUAUUUUAUUGGGGUGAUAGAAAAAUUUAAUUAACUUUUUUUAAAAAUAAACAUUGAUAAGUGAAAUAAUGAUCCAUUAUUGAUGAUUAAAAGAAAAAAUUACUUUAGGGAUAACAGCGUAAUAUUUUUUUUUAGUACAAAUAAAAAGAAAAGUUUGCGACCUCGAUGUUGGAUUAAGAUAAAAUUUAAAUGCAAAAGUUUAAAAUUUUGAUCUGUUCGAUCAUUAAAAUCUUACAUGAUCUGAGCU
rnacentral:rRNA from 1 species